CGUACUUGUACUGAUUGAGAUUUUAACACGAAGUGAGUGGCGAACGGGUGAGUAACACGUGGGUAACCUGCCCAGAAGUAGGGGAUAACACCUGGAAACAGAUGCUAAUACCGUAUAACAGAGAAAACCGCAUGGUUUUCUUUUAAAAGAUGGCUCUGCUAUCACUUCUGGAUGGACCCGCGGCGUAUUAGCUAGUUGGUGAGGUAAAGGCUCACCAAGGCAGUGAUACGUAGCCGACCUGAGAGGGUAAUCGGCCACAUUGGGACUGAGACACGGCCCAGACUCCUACGGGAGGCAGCAGUAGGGAAUCUUCCACAAUGGACGCAAGUCUGAUGGAGCAACGCCGCGUGAGUGAAGAAGGGUUUCGGCUCGUAAAGCUCUGUUGUUAAAGAAGAACGUGGGUAAGAGUAACUGUUUACCCAGUGACGGUAUUUAACCAGAAAGCCACGGCUAACUACGUGCCAGCAGCCGCGGUAAUACGUAGGUGGCAAGCGUUAUCCGGAUUUAUUGGGCGUAAAGCGAGCGCAGGCGG
rnacentral:rRNA from 1 species